rnacentral:rRNA from 1 species
GUCUAUGGCCAUGCUACCCUGAACAAGCCCAAUCCUGUCUGAUCACGAAGCUAAGUAGGGUCAGGUCUGGUUAGUACUUGGAUGGGAGACCACCUAGGAAGACCAGGUGCUGCAGGCG